rnacentral:rRNA from 1 species
AUGGGUUCCUUUCGGUUCGAGGAGACGGUCCAGCCUCUGCGUGAUGUCAUUGACUUCAUGCAAGGUUGGAUGUUGCGGAUGGAGGGCUUCAUGGAGCAUGCUGAGGCUGCACUACGUGAGCUCUCCCUGGCGCUGCCUGUGUUGCGCCCUUUGGUUGUGCCUGGUGACAACUUCGAGAUCGAGAGGGGAGCUGAGCUUCAUGGUUGUUUCUCCCCUCGUGCUAGAGCCAGAUCACCGUCGUCAGCCUCUGAGGGAUUGGACAAUGAUGUGCUUGUGACUCCGGUACUGCAGAUCAUGCCUGAGCUUCGGGAACUGUGUGGGGGCCCGGUUCUGCCUUUUUCCGUCGAACACCUGAAGGUAGACCUUCCCGAGAUCUCGAUUGUGGAUUUACCGCCAGCAUCAUCCCUGGAGUCUAGCAAGACAAUGGAUGCCGAUGAGUGUGUUGAUUUCGACGUUGCAAUCUCUCGCUCGCCUAAGUCCAUUGGGUGGCAGGUGCCGGCUGGCCUACCUCUGGGUGUCAUGGAGCAUAGAGUUUUAGAUGUUGCUGCCCUUCCCUCGUCUGCGACCAUCGAUCAAGUGAUGCCUGUCAGUGGCAUGACCAUUGAGCCAAGUGUGUUGGCACCUACUCCAAAUUCAAAUGCUCUCUUCGCGAAAGAACUUUGUGACUGGCUUGCCAGUGCGGAGAUUGCUAGACCUGGUUUGGGCAGGUCGAUUGCUUGCCUCCUGACGGGAACGCCAAUAAAAGGCAAACAAAAGAAGGUAGGCAAAGGCAAGAGUGGCGCCAUAGGCAAGGCAUCUCUUGCUACUUGA